CUUCCUCCAAAACAAAGACCCCUGCCGUUCCUUUCUCUUCUCUAUUUCUCUAGCCUCUUCUUCCCCAAAACCCAACACUAAAAAUCAAUCUUGCCAAGAAGUCAUGCCCACACUCUCAGGUCCAAAAUAGAAAGAAGGCAUCACCGAUCUUUCCACGAUGCUACUCAUAAGGACCGAUCUCUACCUUUGAGCACUGACGACAGCCAUCAAAACUGGGCAUUAUACUCUGGCUGAAUUUAUUCAGCCCAUUGUAUAUUUCAAUUAUGUCAGUUGGCAAAGGGAGGCAUUAUUCAUCAAGAUUCUGCAGGCCAUAAGGAUACAAUUGGACCCUGUGAUGUGCAGAAAAAGAAAAAAAGAAGAGAUUGUUGGCCAAUAAAUGAGGAAGAGCAGGGCA